UGUAUGUUAUUUAUGUGAAGAUUUAAUGGAGUUUAUUAUUAGUUUUCCUUUCCAACUUUUAUUUUAGGUUCAAGGGGUACAUGAGCAGGUUUGUUACAUGAGUAAAUUGUGUGUCACAGGGGUUUGGUGUAUAGAUAAUUUUGUCACCCAGGUAAUCAGCAUAAAACUUUAUAGGUAAUUUUUCAAAAUUUUUAAAAAUUUGUUUUAAUUUCUAAUAAAGUGAAUAUUAAUAUAAAAAAACAAAAAACAAAAGACCUCAUUUCUUGUAUCUCUAAAGCACCAGCCCAUUCUGAGAUUUUAUAGUUUUUUACUGAUGUCUUGCUCAGACUUUUUCAAUAAAUAUUGAAAUGAUUAGAAUGAAAUAGAAUUCUUAUAUAUUUGUAUUUACUCAUCUCCUCUCUGUAUUUCCGGUGGGGGGAUAGAGUUCAAGGAAAAGUUUAAGAGACAUGGUUGGUUUAUUUCAGGAGUCCAAACCUUAUGCUAAUGAGGAAGCUUUGUCAGGGGAAUUUCAGAUAUUGGCCAGUGGCAGUGGUGGGAACCUUGGGGUUAGCAUCCUUGAAAUAACACCGCAGAGGUGGUGAGUGGCCAGUGUGCCUGGAUGACCCAGAUUUGAGUGGGGUCUCUUCUGGAGGCUGACUGCCCAAGCAGCCUGAAGAAUCACAGAGAUACUUUCUGGUUGGUAUUGCCCUUCUCCCUUCUCCCCAGAGCUAUGCCUGAUUUGGGCUGAGACAGCGGAAAAUACACAAUGCAUGUUUCAGACAUUCCUGCUUUAAUAUGUUAAUAUCUCGCCCACUCUCCAGACCAGGAAUCUCAUAUCUUGUCUUACUCUUUUCCACACAAAAAGAAAACUGCAUUACAUAUAGAAUUUUUCAGUGUAGCUGUUGCUUAUCCCAUUGUAACUAACCACUUUGACUUAUUUUUUUGUGUAUAUCUUGCCUUGACACGCUUUCUUUAUCGAAGACCAUGGAAACAUGGAUUCUUUGUGAUAUUUUGAAAAAUGACAAAUUGAAGAGAUUUUUAUCUCUGGAGACUGAGCUUUUAUAUCAUAAAGUACUUCUCUCCCCUGAUGGCUAACCCAAUCACAUAGUUCCACAAUAAACAAGAUGAAUCUAGAUUCAUAAGACAGUAUGUGCAGAAAAAUGCUGUUACUCUUUGUGGCUUCUUUCCCUGUGCCUUGAAAAUGUUCAUUAAAAAUCUCCUACUUAGUUUGCCUCAUUAUAUUGGUUUACUCAUAUUGGUCCCCUAUUUUAAUGAUUUAAAGCACGUUUGAAAAGAUUUCUUGUUUGGAACAUCCUUGGCCAGGCCACUACUUUGUAAAGUAGGGAAGUCUGCAGGCCCUAGUUGUUCUUUUGAACUUAGUUCAUAAAAUGAUUUUUAAACACUGAUCUAUCAGCUUUUCUCUUCUCUUUAUCAAAAUUAAUAAUUCACAUAAAAGCCACCUAUUUAAAUGGAGUCUCAGCUGGGUACGGUGGUUUACGCCUGUAAUCCCAACACUUUGGGAGGCUGAGGCGGGUGGAAUGCUUGAGUCCAGGAGUUCCAGACCAGCCUGAGCAACAUGGUGAAAUCUGUUUUCUACAAAAAUUACAAAAAUUAGCCAGGUGUGGUGGUGCACAACUGUAGUCUCAGCUAACGGGGAGGCUAAGGCGGGAGGAUCACUUGAGCCUGAGAGGCAGAGGCUGCAGUGAGCCGUGAUUAUGCCACUGUACUCCAGCCUGGUGACAGAGCCAGACCCUGUCUCUAAAUAAAUAAAUAAAUAAAUAAAUGGAGUUCCAUUGUUAGCAACUUACACAACCUGGAAAAAUCAACUGAUCUAUAAAUAUUGGCAUGGAUGAGUGCACAAAUACUUUCAAAAAGAAUUACAAUUUCUCUGUAAUAACUAUCAAGGUUAUUUGGCUAAUAGGGGGUCCCUGGAAGACCUUUAAGACCUGUCUGUAAAAGAAAAGGAACGCUGGCAAUUCACAAGACACCUCAGCAAUGUAGCAUCUGCUCCUGGGGCAGGUAACAAAAUCCAGUUUUAAAUUUUGCUCUUAACAGUUAAGGAGAUAAUCAAGUCAGCUUGGGAUUGGGUUGUGCAUAGGAAGGCUGCAAAAAGAUUACAAAAUAGCCUCCCCCUGGCAGAAAUGUAAAAAAGCCAUUCCAUGAUUUUUUUUUUCCAGUUCUGCCAACGAUUUAUCUUCAGAAGACAAGCAGAUGAGGAGACAAAACCUACUGAUGUGGGUACCCAAGCAGGAACCCCCCUCUUGCACCGGCGACUCACGUGGGAAGAAGAAUUCACUGAGCUGAAAUGGAGUGAGAGCUAAGAUGCUCUCAGAAUAUUCUUAAAAUGACUGUGCUGCAAAGAAGCCUGGGUGAAUAGAAGAAAAUAAAAGGAAUGGUGGAUACAAGUGAAGGUUAAAAUGAGACCCCAUUUAUCGCACCAGCUGUUGGUGAUUUCAGCGCUCCUUUCCAAGCCUCUUGAGAGUUCUGCUCUAACCACACUGCCCCCUAGUGUUCUCUCGCUUUGGUGCAACUGCAGGUUUCUCAUACUUCUGGAGAAAUAGAAAGCACCAGAUGACAGCCACCACACACUUUUGUCCCCAUUGCAAUAGGAUGCUUCUAACAAUCGUAAAAUUAUGAAACACUGAAUUCCUUAAAAGUUGUCCAUUUGUGGAUUUAUCUGAUGGUAACUAUUAAAUAUUUAAAAGUAACUUUAAUGAAUCUACUUAUGAUGAUUGUCUGAGUAAUCUAUUCUCUGAAUUCCACCAAAAAACCAUUUUAUGACCACAGUCAUAACGAACAUAUUUCUAUAGUCCUAAGCUGGCAAGAUAAAUAGAGAACUGUUCAUAAUAUAAACAAUAUAUUUAUUUAUUCCUAAACUAAUAAGAUGACUAUCAAUCUGUAAGAGACUAUGAAAAUCAAUACCGUAUACUUGGUAUAGUUGGUGAGAAUUUCAGAAGCAUGUUUGUUCUUUUAUUUGUGUUUUGGAAGAUACUUAGCCCACUUUUUUUUUUUUUUUUUUUUUUUUUUUGAGAUGGAGUCUCGCUCUUGUCGCCCAGGCUGGAGUGGAGUGGCAUGAUCUCGACUCACUGCAACCUCCACCUCCCAGGUUCAAGCGAUACUCCUGCCUCAGCCUCCUGAGUAGCUGGGACUACAGGAGUGCACCACCACGCCCAGCUAAUUUCUGUAUUUUUAGUAGAGACGGGGUUUCACCAUGUUGGCCAGAUGGUCUCGAUCUCUUGACCUCGUGAUCUGCCCACCUCGGCCUACUUAGCCAACUUUUAAGGACAAGUCCAGCCAUCCUUAUCCUUCACAGCAAAUAACAAACAUAGUGAUUAGUGGGGGUGAAGAGAUGUUGGUCAAGGGGUAUGAAAGUACAGUCAGAUAAAAGGAAUGUGUUCUAGAUUUGAUAGAAUACUAGGGAAAUUACAGUUAACAAAAAUUUAUUGUACACUUCAAAGUAGCUAGAAGCAAAGAACUGUAAUGUCCCCAACACAAAGAAAAGAUAAAUGUUUGGGGUGAUAAUAUCUCAAUUACUCUGAUUUGAUCAUUACACAUUGUAUGCAGGUAUCAAAAUAUCACAUAUCCCCCCAAAAUAUGUACAACUGUUGUAUAUUAAUAAAAAUAAAUAAAUACAAACAAAAAGACCCAAAUAGUAACUAAUUAUAGUGUAAAUAUUAGACUAGAGCCAUUCUGGACAAGCACCUGUUCAACACCAUAUCCUCAUUUUCUGACACCCAGUAGACACUGCGGAAGUAUUUUUGAUUGGUCCUGCAGAGGUUCUACCCCAACCUCACCAGGUGCAGGUGGAUGCCAGGUGCCAGCCUGGGAGAGGCUCUAAGUUCUAAAGAGUGUGUCGGUGGAUGGUGUGCUUUCAUCUUUUAGUUCAUAUGGCCCUGCCUUUGAUUAACAGCACAGAACACUGGGCCCAGACUCUUGCGAGAACAUGUCUUUGAACUGUUUGCUGCUCACCUUUUAGUGAAAGCUCUUGACAGAAAUAUUAAAGAGAAAGUGUUUAAAGAAUGUGUGGUCAAUGCAUUCCUGACGGUGACUCUUCCGUGGAUUGAAAGCUCUGAAGUCCCAUGCUGGAAAAACACUUAGAGAGACCUACAGAGAUAAUGGUGUGUAUAACUUCAGAGGCCUGUGCUCUCUCUUGAAGUGCAUAUUGACGCCCUAGAGGGUUCUGCCCAUGAUGAAAAAUAGGCUUCAGUUUUUGCCAUCUCUAAUCAAUUGGUAGUGAAGACCAAGAGCACUGUUUUGAAAGGGAUCUGAGCCUAGUUUUGUCUAAGCAGAAAACAGUUCUAUGAUGGAUCCACACAUCCUAAGUUGGGGUGAGGAAGCUGCUGGGCCACGGGCUAUGAUUUUGGUAUCCUUACUCUGGAAAUUAAGGUAGUCUACUAGCAAGCUGUGUAUGUUGACCACACACUUUCUAAUGUAUCCAGAACAUUGCUUCCAUUGAGUUGGACUUGGUCAUUAUAUCCUCAGUUUGCUUUUAGGGAAAAUUUUAAAAAGUUUCCCAUGACACCUGCCUUCACUUUUUUGUCAGAAUGUCAUCGAAAAACACUGGCUACAACAUAUCAGAAAAAAUGUCCUUGUCAGACCUAAGUGUCAGGAAAAUCUUUGCUUCACUGAAGAAUUUUAUUCUUUCAGGACUAAAUAUGAGUGACAUAAUAUACAGUAUUCCUCUUUGCUUCUGCUUUUAGGAAUAUCAGCUUAAUGUCAAUAAUUGCAUAGCACACUAUAACAAAAAUCAUACAAUGAUACUAAUUUUUAUUUAUAUCUCUAUCCAUCAAUCUAUCCCACUGUUGAGCUAACAAUUCGUAUAAGCCACUCCAAAUUCUUUGUGGAACAAAUCAAGAUAUAUAAAGGUAAACAAAUAAUAUUGUAUAGAUGUUAAUAUUUUAAUUCUCCCAUGAAAAACAAAAGUUCUCCUUCCUUUGGCUUCAGAAAAUUCAUUAAUUUUCCAACUUUAAGAUUGAAGAGUAAUGAACACAUGCUAUCAGCAGAUUUAAGUAUCUGACUAACUACAGUUCAAGCCUUCCCUUUCAUAUUCCUUUCCAGUAUGACUGAAUAACUUCUUUUCCCUAGAGACAGAUAUUUAGCCUUAAAUUUUAUAUAGGAGAAAGAACACAAAAUUUUAAAAUAUAAAAGCAAUAUAAAUCUACAGUGGUCUUCAGAGUUGUUCAUUUUUAAUAUAAAUAAAUUACUAGUUCAAAUAACUUCUCCAAAACAAGUUUCCCAGACCACCAAGGCAGCCGCUGGUGAGCAGCCUCACCUGUUAUCAUCAGUCUUUUCUCAUCACACUUCCCUAUUUAAGUGUGGAAUUGUUCCCAGUUCAAAGAUAUAUGGGAGAGAAGUGGCUGGAUGGGUAGGAUACACAGAAAACCUUGUGUACAUUCUUUGGGAGAAGCUUCUAUAGAAGAAUCUGAGCCACAACAGAUUACCUCUGGGGAGGUUUGUGGCUAUCAUCAUGAAGGAAGGCUUAACCAUUACACAAAUCUUUGCAAUACUUUUCUUCUGAAUUUCUUAGGCCCAGGAGGCUCUAUUGCUCAAGUUCAUUUUGAAGCACACUGGUUUCAAGACCUGCAUAAGUGUUCAUUGAAUUAAAAAAAUUCUUUCUCAAGCUCUAGGUAUGCUGACAAGUUUGGCAGACCAGAAGCGUGAUACUUCUACCUGCGAGACUCCAGCGGAGUCAGCACUGCAAGGGAGAAGGCAGGGGUCCUGAGCUCAGUUCAGGGUCAGUGCCUUACUUCCUGUGUGGUCUCUGCAAAGUGAUUUAGUCAACCUCUCAGUCUCAGUUUUCCCAUACAUAAAGUAGGGAUAAAAGUCAUAUCCAACUUGCAGAUUGACUGUGCAGAUUAAAUGCAUGUCAUGUAAAGCACGUGGAGUAUACUAAAGGCUCAAUAAAUACUAGUUCCCUCCCUUCACCUUUCAGCCCCUCAUCUCCCCAGCAAUAUUUUCAGAUGAAUAAGAGGUGAGAAUUUUCAGUCUUAUUUACACCAAAGAUCACGUUUGGGUAGUCAAAAUAAAAGUGACCAUAUAAUCUAAGGAAAUAAGUGAGUUAUGUGUUCUUAGAACAGGACAGAAUAAUUAAAAGCAGGCCUGUGCAGAAAACCUGGAAAUAUGUUGCACAUCAUCUCUGCAUCCUUCCCUCACUCCUCCUUCUCUCUCCCUCAGGGUAGUAGAGCAAAGAAAGUAGAACUCAGGGCAGGGCUUGUGUCUGUUUUGUUCACUCGUGUACACCAAGGGUGUAAAAUCCUCAUACAGAUUUGAUGCUCAAUAAAUAUUUGAUAAACUGAAUUAAAUACUCAGAAAGAAAGCAGAAAUGGUUUGGGACUUCAUAUCCUGUUUUCCCUGGAGUUCAGCACAAAUAAAAUAAUUAUUUCUAACAAAAAAGUUAAAGAAAGUCUUUAAUUUUCUACCACAGAAAAAGGUAUUGGAUUUUUACUCAUUUUCCUCAAGCACAUAACCAAAAAAUGCUCCCAAACAAAUAAACAUCAGUAAACAAUUUCUGGAAACCCAAUGUAGCAAUAGGUUACAAAUAAAGCAAAGAGUGCCCCUGCUGAAACUGCUGUUUAAUCUUGCAAGGGCCCUCCAGGGUGGAGCUCUCGCCCUCUCCUGGCUCAGCCUUAAACUUCACUAUAAGUAAGCAGAAUACAGCUGAGACAAGAGGAAGUAGUUCAUUUGCAUAAUACAAACAAAGACUCCCAGGUGAAUGGUUUGCCAGUUAUCAAUGUUUGCUUUGCCGAUUAGUGAAACAGUCUACCAGUAAGUCUACCUAAAGCCUAAUGUGCUAUACUUUUUUUUUUUUUCCAGAAAGUUGGUCAAUGGAGAAGGCAUCAAUUGGCAACAUUCGGUUGGACCAGUUAAUGAUUCAGUUUGCUUUUCAAAAGAUACUAGCAGACAGCAUUAAUCUUAUCACUCUCUCUAAGUAUAAUCUGGAUGUAGAAAAUCACUCACAUGCCUUAAGUUAGACCGAGUCUUGCUCUGUCACCCAGGCUGGAGUGCAAUGGUGCGAUCUUGGCUCACUACAACCUCCGCCUCCCGGAUUCAAGCAAUUCUCCUGUCUUCAGCCUCCCAAGUAGCUGGAUUGCAGGUGUCAUCUAGUUCAACAACACGCUUUUCAAAUAGGAGAUGGAAGACCACAGAAGUCACCUGAAGCUGUUUAGGAGACCCAGGCUGGAGCAAAACUGGAAUGGCCUAGCAUUGAAUCUGGUUUUCCUUUUCUUUUUAUUUAUUAAUGUAAUAAAAAAAAAUUUGGUUUCUAUUCUGCUUAGUAGAAAAGGUUUAUAUAUGGAUCACAUGUCUGUGUGUGUAUCUCUGUGUGAAAGAGUCUGUUUUUUGUAAAGCUUAUGUAUUUUUCUUCCCCUCUCUCAUUGGCAUUUAUCUCGAUGUAAUUGACUUGAGGUUUCUGGUCUUGGUAAAUUUCCUAUUUCAAAAGCUUUGAAAAAUUAUUAAAUCUAAUUUAGAAGUGUAAAAUUCCAACUCAAACUUUGGAAGUCAAAUUAAAACUCCUCUCCUUGGUAAUCUCUGAGAUAGUAUAUACAAAUAUCGUCCCUCUUAUUAAUUGUUCAGCUCUUUUCUUAAAUCAUACAUGAAUGACUUGUCAAAGACAAAGUAUUAGCAUCAGAAAGAUUCUCAGUAUCAGGACUUGGAGGUCAUGUUGCACUUCAGUCUGGAGCUUCUGAGAAUGGAACCCUGAUCUCCCAUCCUCGUAGAAUCCCCACUUUCCCGGUGAGGCCUAAACAGGAAGGGAGUACCACAGCUGGGAAGAACCCCAUGUUCCUGUUCUGGAUCAAGGGAGUGCUACCCCCACAAUGGUGAUACUAAUGCUUUUUCACGGAAACUGGCUUCCGAGUUCAACAAGACAGGCAAAGGGGACAUGGCAAAUUCCCCUCUUAACACUUAUGCUCGGAGUGACAUGUCUGUUCAUGCUCACAACCUGGCAUUAAAGCAACUCACGUGGCCAUAUCUGUCUAGAAGGGGUCAGGGAAGUGCAAUUCUUUUAUGUACCCAGAAAAGGGGGAGAAAUAUUGGGUAAAGACUACUAAUGACUACCACCUUCUGCAACCCUCACUUUUUCUGACUAUGAUGAUAAUGACACCCUUUGCCUUUACAUAGUAUAGCUGUGCCUAAUCAAAGGGCACACUGGCCAGACUUAGAGGUGGGAGUGACUUCUAAGGAGCAUGGACUUUACCUGGGAAGGUGAUGGGCUUGCUGGGGAGCUGUGGUGUUUGAGAGCCAGAUGGUUGACUCAUGAAACAGUAAUCCAGGAGUGAAACAGAAACCAAGUUCUUAGGCAGGCAGUGCUACCAAGUCAUCAAUAUGAAGGGACCAGGCAGAGAGCAGGAGACUCGGAUACUGGGGAAAUCAGACAAAACAAGAACCCACCUACCUGCCCUCUGUCUUCCUGCCUCCCACAAGUACUUCUUGUGCACUUAUAAAGUGGCAAGCACUAUUUUAGGUUCUAGGGAUUUAGCAGUGAAAAGACAAGUAGAGGAAAUAAAACAAAAAGAGUGUCUGAGGCCUUGAGUGUGCACAGGUGGAGUGACCCUGUCCAAGGUCAUGUGUGUGCACUCUACACUGAGUAUUUCAUACCCAUGGCUCAUUUGAAACAUGCAAGAACUCAAAGAGGUGAGUACUGCUAUUACAGGUUGAGUAUCCCAAAUCCAAAAAUCUGAAAUCCAAAAUACUCCAAUGAGCAUUUUUUUUUUGAGUGUCACAUCAGUACUCAAAAAUUUUCAGAUUUUGGAUUUUCAGAUUUGGGAUGCUGAUCUGGUAAGUGGAAUGCAAAUAUUCCAAAACCCAAAAAAAUCUGAAAUCUGAAGCACUUAUAGACCCAAGCAUCUCAGAUAAGGGACACUCAACCUGUAUAACCAUUUUUCCAAUGAGGCAACAGUUCUUCAGGGUGGUAAAGUGAUUGGCCCAUGGUCAUGCAAUUGAUCCAAGUCCUGGUUUUCUGACUCUAAAGGCCCUUUUCAUUUUAUUUUUGGACAAUAACAUUGUCAUUUUUAACAGAACAUACAUAUUGUAAGUUUCCAGAGUUUAGAUCUCUGCCUUCUAAGGUUACUGUUUUCCAUCUAAGUUCUAUUUUCUGCUGAUAAUUAUAAAGUUUUGAAAAUAAUUCAAGCCAUAUAUAUACAAUUUAUAAAUAUCAUAUAUACAUAUAUAUAAAAUUGUUUUACAUGACUGCUAAGGGAUUCUUCAAACUGACAUUUUUAAAAGCCAAGUGAAUAUAUUGAAGGUAUUUUAAAAAAACAGUUACUUUGAUUUGAAACAAUCUCUUGUUAUGAUAAAAGUAGUCUCAUCUCUAAAAUAGCCAAAUAUAGACAGCCAUAAGAUAAUUAAAUCAGAAUCUGUUUUCUCUUCCCAGGAAGUGAAUCUAAGUGUCAAGACAGUCCCCACUCUUUUCAGGCUUAUAGUAUUAACAGCAUCACAUCACAAAAUGUUGUCAGGUUCUUGUGGCAGCAAUAAUGCUUUCAUUUAUAAAAGGUGACCACGGUUCUUAAGUUGGUUCCUCUUGACCUCUGUCAUCUACACACACAAACAUGCACAGUCACUAGUUAGGUUAAGUUGAAUUUAGUUUAAGAAGUGCUAGAAAAAGGCUUCUGAACUGUUGAAACCAUGCCAGGGGUCAGUCGGUGGAUUUUUCACUAAAAGGGUCAUACAGAUGUCUAGGUUUUUCAGUGUGAGAUAUCCAUAUUCUAAAAUGCCAUUCUGAGCGGGAAGUAAGAAAGGGUUUUACAAAGCCUACUUUAAAAGUAUAAUGAAGCCAAAUUCUUCUGCUCCAGUUUAGAAAGGGUUUUGCACUUUUCAGGGUGGAAUACUUAAAACUCAAAAUUCACAGACCAAACAGGUACACAGGCCACAGGUACUUAGGGGUUGGAUGUUACCAAAGGGUGAAAAAAAAGAAGAGUCGAGAGAAUAGGAAUUUUCUUUCUAUAGCACUAUCUAUGAGAUGGAGCUCUGAGUAUAAGCAAUCAUUUCUGGUUCUCCAGAUUGGAAAAAUCAUCAGGAGAUCACAUCAUAAUCUGUGAAGUAGAAACUAUCCUUUAGUGGUGCCACAUUUUCUAUUUCUGAUUCUUUGGUCACACAGGGACUUUCUGGGCUAUGAAAUAGUCUAUUCAGUGAAACUAGUUAUCAUAAAAGACAUGCAAAAUCCUUUUCACAGUCUUUGUCCUGCAAUAUCUCACAAAAUUAAUUAUAAAUUGGCAUGCGACUUUCUGAUUUAGCCUGACAGUAUUGUUCCUUUCCAAGGUUUAGGCACUAGCUGCUAUUAUUAAGAUAGGAAUUGUACAGGUGGUGGCUCAGCCCCAAGUGAGGCUCGGCCUGAAUAACCUCACUAUGCAGAAGUAGAGAGCACCUGGGGAGAAGAGACAGGCUCCUUAUAUCCUGGAUUACCCUGACUCUACUGCAGCCACAGUGUUGUUCUUGAGUUUUAUGUCAGGUGAAUAUUAACAAUAGCAGUAGGAUAGGGUACUAGAUAGUCAGCAUGCUUUUUAGGAAAAAGCACAGAAAUUUUGGAGGUUUUUGAUAUAUCCUAACAUAUGAUUUGUGUGAUGUCUCUGAGGCUCGCUUCCCCAUUUAAAAAUAGAAAUAAUGUGGUCUGGUGCGGUGGCUCAUGCCUAUAAUCCCAGCACUUUGGGAGGCUGAGGUGGGAGGAUCACUGGAGGCCAGGAGUUCGAGACUAGCCUGGCCAAAAUGGCAAAACCCCAUCUCUACUAAAAAUACAAAAAUUAGCUGGGCGUGGUGGUGCAUGCUUGUAAUCCCAGCUACUCGAGAGGCUGAGGCAGGAGGAUUGUUUGAAUCCGGGAGGAGGAGGUUGCAGUGAUCCAAGAUUGUGCCACUGCACUCCAGCCUAGGUGACAGACUCCGUCUCAAAAAAAAAAAAAAAAAAAAAAAAGAAUAA